rnacentral:rRNA from 1 species
AAAACACUGACGAACGCUGGCGGCGUGCUUAACACAUGCAAGUCGAACGCUGAAACCGGAGCUUGCUUCGGUGGAUGAGUGGCGAACGGGUGAGUAACACGUGAGCAACCUGCCCUUCACUCUGGGAUAAGCGCUGGAAACGGUGUCUAAUACUGGAUACGACCCAUCACCGCAUGGUGUGUGGGUGGAAAGAUUUAUCGGUGGGGGAUGGGCUCGCGGCCUAUCAGCUGGUUGGUGGGGUAAUGGCCUACCAAGGCGACGACGGGUAGCCGGCCUGAGAGGGUGACCGGCCACACUGGGACUGAGACACGGCCCAG